rnacentral:lncRNA from 1 species
CUUAAGAUUAAUAGAAAAGUUAAUUGAAUAGUUGUUUUCAAUCCAUUUUAAUCUAAAAGUUGAUUCUAAAAUGUGUUUUUUGUAAUUUGUCCUCAAGUUACAUGAAAAGUCACAUUUAAGUUUCUUAAAACUCAUAAAAAAUUGUCAUAGGUUACAAAAUGAAGAGUCUUGUUCUUAUUAAAAGGUUUUAUGACUCCAUAACUUGUCCUCAAGUUGUGGAGGUACAAGAGUCUCUUCAUUAAAUAAAAUAUGUGUAACCUUAGUUAACUCAUAAAACUUCCAUAAGUUAUGAAUUAUGAAGAGUCACUUUCUUAAUUAGUUUAAAGUCUUCCAUAACUUGUCCUCAAGUUAUGGAACUUGAAGAGUUUUUUAAUUAAAACUACUUUAAACACAUAAGUUAUGGAAUAGAAAAGUUUUGAAAGUUACAAAACUUGCCCUCAAGUUUUGGAAUUUGAAAAGUUUUCUCUUAUGAAUACUUUAAUUCCAAGUUAUCCCUUCGAAUUUUAAAAGUUAAAAUUCAACCCUUAUACUUUAUAAUAUUAUAAGUUAAUAAUAUAUAUGUAUAAGAGUAAAGUCAGUCUUACCGCUAGUACGCCUCAUUCACGAAGCCGGUCUAUAAGGUGGGUAUAAGGUUGUUGCCUAUAAAAUGGCAACUUAAUGGGUGUCCACUCUCACCCACCGCUUGCUUGACUGGUGGAGGGUCGUUAGCCGAACGGGUUUGACAGGACUAGAAUUCUCCCUUCAUUAAAAGUAUUAAUGAUAAUACUAAGUAACUAAACUCUUAAUAAUACCCAAUCUUAGUUACUUAGGAAAAAUGUGAAUAAGGUGCUAAUCCAUGAAAUUACACUUUGCACUUUGUUUAAGUCGGUUAGUGGAGCGUGUGUGGUUAACCGGCACACUAACGCGUAUUUAACAAGGUAGGCAAAGGGUAACUUAAUGUUUAUCAUAGUAUCGAUGGAGCGUGUGUGGUUAACCGGCACAUCGAUUGAGGGGUAAACACUUAAGGGUACCAAGUAAUUUGCAUGGUUACUUCACACCUUGUUUUGUGAUCCUCGGCAUCCCAGUCACAAAACCUGAAGGGCACACUCGAGAUUGAAACAUGCCAUUGAACAGUUCAAUGAAUCUCAAAGAUCUAGGAGUUUCAAAACCAAUUAAAACCUAAUAAUACAUUUCGUUUAUCUUGGUGGAAAUUGGUGAAUCGUCAUUCACCUACCUUCAAAUAUUUUAUAGCUUGGAUUACGGCAUACCUCUUCUAAGUUAUAAAAUAGUUUGUUGGGUCCUAGCCUUAAUAUUUCAUAUUGGGUGUCAUAUUAAGGACUUUAAAUCAACUAUCUUGAAUAUCUCCCAAAAGAUGUCUGGUUUAGACACCUAUGAUCUUCCCAAAUCUCUUGAAACAAGGUUUCCUAAUGAAGAUGAUGUCCCAUGGAUAUCAUACUUCUUCACCUCUUCAAAUUAUUCUCCCUAACCCACAAGUUCUUGAAAAGUUUAAGGUCACUCAGGCCCUAUUAGCAAGGCAAGGUCUAGGUGUGGUCACAUCUUGGAGAUGUAGUCACAUAUUGACAAGCCGGGAGAGUUGGGUGUCAAAGUCUUGAGAAAGUUGGUGGUUCAAUCACUUUCUAAGUCACAUAGUGAGUUCCUUUGGGACACCUAUGAAACAGACUAUGACAAGACCCUUAAUGAUCUUAUCUAUUUGUUAAGAUCAACUUCCUAAAACUUUAUGGACAUUGACAAUGAUGACAUUGGAUAUCCAGUAAAGCAUUCUCUUCCCAAUGGAAAGGGAUCGGCUAUAGUCAACUCGGUUGACCAAAUGGUAAAGAGAAAAGCUAAGUCUGUGAUAGUCCUGUGUACCAUUAUCAAAGGGUCCAUAUGUUUGUAUUGCCAAAGAAAGGGCAUUGGUUGCGAAGCUGCCAAAUUUACCUAAGGAUGUUAAAGUCAAUAAGUUUGACUCUACUUCAGGUAAAAUCCACUAUCUAACUCUGUUAAGUUUCUAUUCUGAGAUUCUUGAUACAUGAUGUGACUGGGUCACAUGGUGAUGUUUUAAGAAUCAAAGAAAAGUGAAGAAACUUAAAGAAAGAAUAUGCUGAAUCUGAUGGCGUAGAUGGAUUUCUAUCGCAUAGUUUGAAGAUCGGAUUCUUGAGCUACUUCUUAGGAGUUAUGAGAUAUUGCUUAGGAAUAGAUAACAACAAGUUUUCAUAUGGAUUGUAAGGAUAAGUUUUUCCGCAAAGUUUUAAAAUAAAAGAAAAUUUUUUUGAUUUUAUUUAUUUUAAAAUAUCCUUACAAUGGCUUUUGAGGAAAAAUUGUUGCUUAUAUGAUUCCAUUAAGAGCAAGAGUGGAAAUAUGAAAUUGAUUCUUUCAUUUGUGGUAAUGUCUAAAUUUACCAAAUAAGGAAAGAUUCUCAUCACCCAAGUUUCAAUUGGACCGGAACUUGGAAUCAUGCAAGUUGUAUAGCAUGAUGAAUGAGAACUUUCAAGUUUUGGAAAAUUAAGACUAAUUACUUGUUCACAUGGAUGUGUGAGUCAAGUAAAGGACUUAGGGAUCGAGUACACAUUCUUGUGCACUGAUUAAGUCCACCACUAAAGAUCGAUAAGAAGAAUCAAAUAAGGCAGAAGGAUAAAAGUUUCUCAAAUCUGAAAAGAUGGGAGAGUACUUUAGUAUCAGUUUUGUGAUCAUCUUAAUGAUUAAGAAACCAUAUCAAAAUUAGUUCUCUAAGGAAAUCUUAGUGCAUUCUUAUGACUAAGAAGAGGAACUUGAAUUGUUGAAAUGGUUAAAUCAAGAAGAUGAGUCAUACUUCGUUCCAAUACAAGUCUUAGAGUCAUACUCCAAGAUUGUCAUUUGAGUGACAUGUCUUAAAGAAGGUUUAAAACACUUGUCAAAUGUAAGAGUAAAAGUUUUCUACUCUUGUACAUUUGAAAUUGGUAAGUUGUGAUGUUUUGGAUAAAACAAAGACCAACUUAGGCCAAUUGGGUAAAGUGUUUUUCUUGAUUAGAAUCCGCACUAUCUCUUGGAUGUUUGACAAGGGAGUCUUAUAUGUCAAGAGGACAGUGGGAGUCUUAAAGGUCUUGAAAGUCUCAAGAAAUAAUCAAGAAUAAAACCUAAAGUUCUUCACUAGCACACGACUUGAGGUUUAUAACCUAUCGUGUUGACAUAUCUGUGCCCAUUCCAGUUAAAGUUGGCUUUGCAUAUGAGUUCUUAGAGUUCUCAGUUUGUUGCAUAACAACUUGGAAGCAAUGGCAGGCCCUUGAGCUGCCAGGUGGCAAGAAGUUAAGAUUGAGUUCAAUCCAUAUGGUUUUGGAUUUGUCAUUAUCUUUGUCUUGUGAUUAUGGUUUGACAAAUUCAUAUGGGUAGGAACUCAUACACCAUAUAAAUCUAAGUGUCAUAAGGUUUCUCUCCGAUUCAUGAAAAUGAUGGUGAGGAAACGCUUUCACUAAGUAGAUUUUACGAAGAUAUCAAUUGUGUUAUUUGCAUUUUCAAAAGUCGUUAGUGGAGCGCGUGUGGUUAACCGGCACACUAACAUGGACUUGUGAGAAAUGGCAAAUGCCUAAGCAAUUGAGACCAUGAUUACGGUAUCCCUUUUCAUGGUUCUUGAAAUUGCUUAGACACACAGGUGAGCUAUCUACGGAAAGGGUGUAUGAAUCUAAAUUUCAGACUGUCCAGCUGAUUUCUGAGUACAUGUCAAAGCUAGUGGGAGCAUAAGUGUUAUGCUAAUAAUCAUCAUGUUAGUGGGAGCAUGAUAAUUAUGAUAAGUAUUGCAAGUUAGCAAUGUUAAUUAUAGAAAACAAAAGUUUCAAUUGGGAAAAAGUUGUUUUGCUAUAAUUAAGGGAGAGGAAAUUAUGCUUCAUCUCAAAUCUAUAAGCUUAGAUCGUGAGGUUUUAAUCAUUUAGUCAAGGAUAUAUAUGAAUUUCAUGUUGGAAUGGCUCAACAUAAGGAAAUUCUGUAUAUGGGUCCAUUAUUUGCGUUCUAAAAUUCGAUUAUGAUUACGGCAUCCCUUUUCAUAAUCUGAAUUAUGAGAACUUGGCAAAUUGAAAUGGAAAUAUUAUAGCAAAAGACUGGUUUAGUCUUUAUGUAAGACAUCAUGAAUCGUGUCCCAUAUGCUUCGGAUAUAGGAUCGAUUACAUGUGCUAUAUUCAUCCGUUCUAAAAUUUUCCAAAUGCCUGGGGCAUUAAGAAGGGAAAAGGUUUAGAACUGGAUAUGACUAAAAGGAUUAAACAAUUGUCGAGGACAAUCUAAGGUUUACCAAAGAUUGGUUACUCAAGGACAAUUGGAAGUAUAGUGAUAAUUCUGGAAGGACCAUAUUGACAUAAUCUGUAAGGAGGCAACUCUUGUUCAGAAGUGAUAGUCAAAAUGGAAUCUGGAAAUGUUUCAAAGUUAGAAUUUUCAAUCUGUGUAAGAUUAAGGAAACUUAAUGCAAGAAGGAUAUUUCCAAGGAGUUGAUCUCCUUUGGAAUACUCUGUAAUGAUUGUUGCCAAGUCUUUGUGACUUUGUGCAUAAUCAUUACAAGAGGAUCAAUGCAUAUAAGUUUAGAAUCUAACAGAUUUCAGUAAAUGGCAUGAAUUUGGAAUUCUUGCAUUUGCAGUAAGGAUUUGGGAGUGUGAAAAGAGAAUCAUUGAAGUUAUGUUCAAUUGAUCUAGUUCACAAAGUAAAGAUCAUAGACAAACAUAGUAUGCAUACUUGGUGUGUGGCAUGACUAGUGUUUAAGAAAACAUAGUGUACAUGCUUGGAGCAUGGGACAACUAUUGUUUUAAAUUCAAGAAUAAAGUUGAUAGCUGAAACAGUAUACAAUGAAUAAUGUGUAAUCAUAUGGUGAUAAAUAAAAGGUGUUUUAUUUAUGUUCAAAGGGUUGAUACCAUAUUGGAUUCAAUUAUUAUUGUGUUUCAUUUUGCAUGUUUUGACUUCCCGAAUAAACUGGGUUAUUCUUCCGGAAUGACUAAGUUAUUCAAACCAUCCACAGUCGGUCAUAUGUUGGAAGUAGAUAUGAAUUAAGACUGUCAUGGGUUGGCUUGUAGAGGUCUAAGGUGUUGGACAAAGGGCUACAACACUCAUGAGUGCUCAUAAGUUCUGAGUAUUGGAUUCAACCCGCGCUCAUUGGAAUCACUUCAUGGAUUUUAUCACGAGUGAUCAUGAGACGAUAAUAUCUUAUAUUCUUCAAACCUAGAGAUAUGAGUUGUUACUAUGAGUUGAUAGUACAUUGAUUGCACGAAAACGCAUUUGGUAACUCGGUGCUAUAAAACGUGCCUUUGUGUAUGAUUCAACAAGUAGUAGAACAAGCCAUAUGAGUCGAAGUUUAUCCAUUCCUUUUACCUUCGGGAUAAAAGCGAUAUCUGUGGGCCCCUCGAUGAUUUGAUGAUGACAAAUGGAAGUGCUCGGCCGGGCCAGGACUGAUUUGAUUUGUUCAAUUAGUCAGUCGUCAUAAAUCGGAAAUCGGGAAACAACAAAUGGACAGAGAGAAUGAUUAUAAUCCAUGUCUCAGUCCAUAUGAUAUCUAGAAUGGAGGAAUAUAUGAUCCCUUAUCUAAUGGACAAGUCAUUGACAAAGGUCAGAGUUCAUCUACAAGGUCAGAGUUCGACAGAAGCUUUUGAGAGCUACGAUUGCCAGUUGGUUCCUGAAGUCAUACGCAAUAAUAGUUUUAGACUUAUCCAAGUGGGAGACUGUUGGAUUAAUGUCUAAGUCCAUAACUAUAAUUGGUAAGACUUGACCCGACCCGGCAUGGUCCAUUUGGGUUGCAUACCAUCAUGCACUUGGAUAGACUAUAAUGAGAGAAAUAAGACACUUAUGGUUAUUAAUAUAUUAUAAGUUCUAGUAUAUUAAUAAUAAGAAUAAUAAGAUUAUUUAAUUAGUAUUGAUCAAGAAUUAAUCUAGGAUUAAUUAAGUGAUCAAAAGAAGACUAAUUAAAUAUAUGGGUUGAUUGUGUAAAUCAUCCAUACUUGUAUAGUGGGCUAAUGCUCCAUGGAUAAUCAAGUUGGGCUAAAACCCAUAGGAUGGUCCAUGGAUGCUCCAUGGUGUAUUUGUACCCAUGGAUCCAAGGAAAUGGAAAGCCAUGACAAUUAAGAGUUUACCCUAAUUGUGUAACUAUAUAAGCAUCUUAUUAUUGAGGAAAAAUCGGCCACUAGUGAUAGUGAAGAAAGGGCUAGCCGAUUUUGAAGAGUGUAGAAUUCUCUCAAGUCAUUCCAAGUGUUUUGAUGAUUGUGAUUCCAUUUGAGGUGUCACACUUGGGGCACUAGGCACUCAAGCUUCAUGAAGACUUUCUACAUCAAAGAGGUAUGUAUUCUAUCUUGUUAUAGUCAUUGUUUUGUAUGCUAGAUUAGGAUAAUACCUUGGAAGUUCUUAUUUGCAUGUAUAAUAGAGAAAACAUAGAUCCAAGGUAUUUAGGGUUGCAUGUACACUUAGGAGUGUUAGAAUGCUCAAAACCCAACAGUGGUAUCAGAGCCUAGGCUUGUUUUCUUGUUAUACCUGCAAUAGAAGCUGAAAAAACGAAUCUGGUGCUGUCUGGCCAUCAGACUCGGCGAGUCCAUCAGGAGACUCGACGAGUCCAUGCCUAAAAAGUGAUGAAUUCGAUCCAACUCGCCGAGUUUGUUCAUGCACUCGACGAGUUGGACCCCCAGACAGCAUAUUUUCGAGUUUUUUGGCUAGAAAUGGACUAGGAACAUUACCCUAAGUUGUUUUUGAACUUAUAAACUUGUUUUUGAUGUGGUAAUGUUCAUGCUAAUCCAUUUUCAAAGAUAAUUGUCAAUAGAUUCAUGUUUUGUAUUAGUUUAAGGUUUAGACUAAUUACAUGAAAAAGUUUGAUUUGAAUUAUCUUGUUCUUAUGAGUUGCUUAGAUUAAUAGAAAUGUUGAGUGAAAUAGUUGUUUUCAAUCCAUUUUAAUCUAAGAGUUGAGUAUAAAAUGUGUUUGUGUAACUUGUCCUCAAGUUACAUGAAGAGUCACAUUAAAGACUCAUAAAACUCAUAAAAGUUGGCAAUGGUUACAAAAUGAAGAGUCUUGUGUCAUUGAAUAAUUUUUUUUGACUCCAUAACUUGUCCUCAAGUUAUGGAAGUUCAAGAGUCACUUCAUUAAAGAAAAAUAUGUAACCAUAAUUAAAUCCAUAAGUUAUAAAAUAAAGAAAAAGUUAGUUCUUUUAUUAGUUUAAAGUCUUCCAUAACUUGUCCUCAAGUUAUGGAACUUGAAGAGUUUUUGGAUUAAAACUACUUUAAACACAUAAGUUAUGGAAUUAAUUAGUUUUGAAUAGUUUCAAAACUUGCCCUCAAGUUUUGGAAUUUGAAAAGUUUUCAAGUAUGAAUACUUUAAUUCCAAGUUAGCCCUUAGAAUUUUAAAAGUUAAAAUUCAACCCUUAUACUUUAUAAUAUUAUAAGUUAAUAAUAUAUAUAUGUAUAAGAGUAAAGUCAGUCUUACCGCUAGUACGCCUCAUUCACGAAGCCGGUCUAUAAGGUGGGUAUAAGGUUGUUGCCUAUAAAAUGGCAACUUAAUGGGUGUCCACUCUCACCCACCGCUUGCUUGACUGGUGGAGGGUCGUUAGCCGAACGGGUUUGACAGGACUAGAAUUCUCCCUUCAUUAAAAGUAUUAAUGAUAAUACUAAGUAACUAAACUCUUAAUAAUACCCAAUCUUAGUUACUUAGGAAAAAUGUGAAUAAGGUGCUAAUCCAUGAAAUUACACUUUACACUUUGUCUAAGUCGUUAGUGGAGCGUGUGUGGUUAACCGGCACACUAACUUGGACUUAACAAGGUAGGUAAAGGGUGACUUAAUAUUUAUCAUAGUAUCGAUGGAGCGUGUGUGGUUAACCGGCACAUCGAUUGAGGGGUAAUUUAUUAAGGGUACCAAGUGAUUUGCAUGGUUACUUCACACCUUGUUUUGUGAUCCUCGGCAUCCCAGUCACAAAACCUGAAGGGCACACUCGAGAUUGAAACAUGCCUUUGAAAAGUUCAAUGAAUCUCAAAGAUCUAGGAGUUUCAAAACCAAUUAAAACCUAAUAAUACAUUUCGUUUAUCUUGGUGGAAAUUGGUGAAUCGUCAUUCACCUACCUUCAAAUAUUUUAUAGCUUGGAUUACGGCAUACCUCUUCUAAGUUAUAAAAUAGUUUGUUGGGUCCUAGCCUUAAUAUUUCAUAUUGGGUGUCAUAUUAAGGACUUUAAAUCAACUAUCUUGAAUAUCUCCCAAAAGAUGUCU